CUGUGGUAAUGCUAAAUAUUUUGGAUUUGGAACAUGUAUUUUGAUAAGUGAUCAAAACACAUGGCUUCAUUGAGAACGAAGAAGAACCCUGCAAAUACAAAUGGAUUAAUAGUUCUAUGAGUGUAUUUCUUAGCUUGUAUGUGAAUGAAAUUUUUUUAAUCGGAAAUGAUAUUCCUUACAUUACAAAGAAUAAAGGUUUCGCUAUUAUCAUAGUUCUUCAUAAAGGACUUAGGAAAAGUAUCUCUCAUCCUAUGGA
rnacentral:lncRNA from 1 species